rnacentral:rRNA from 1 species
GCAGCCGCGGUAAUACAUAGGGGGCAAGCGUUAUCCGGAAUUAUUGGGCGUAAAGCGUGCGUAGGCGGUUUAUUAAGUCUGAUGUUAAAUCCCACAGCUUAACUGUGGUUGGUCAUUGGAAACUGGUAAACUUGAGUACAGUAGGGGUAAGUGGAAUUCCAAGUGGAGCGGUGGAAUGCGUAGAUAUUUGGAGGAACACCAGUGGCGAAGGCGGCUUACUGGGCUGGAACUGACGCUGAGGCACGAAAGCGUGGGGAGCAAACAGGAUUAGAUACCCC